GUGGGGAAUAUUGGACAAUGGGCGAAAGCCUGAUCCAGCCAUGCCGCGUGUGUGAAGAAGGUCUUCGGAUUGUAAAGCACUUUAAGUUGGGAGGAAGGGCAGUAAGCUAAUACCUUGCUGUUUUGACGUUACCGACAGAAUAAGCACCGGCUAACUUCGUGCCAGCAGCCGCGGUAAUACGAAGGGUGCAAGCGUUAAUCGGAAUUACUGGGCGUAAAGCGCGCGUAGGUGGUUCAGCAAGUUGGAGGUGAAAUCCCCGGGCUCAACCUGGGAACUGCCUCCAAAACUACUGAGCUAGAGUACGGUAGAGGGUAGUGGAAUUUCCUGUGUAGCGGUGAAAUGCGUAGAUAUAGGAAGGAACACCAGUGGCGAAGGCGACUACCUGGACUGAUACUGACACUGAGGUGCGAAAGCGUGGGGAGCAAACAGGAUUAGAUACCCCAGUAGUCC
rnacentral:rRNA from 1 species